GGAGGGUGCAAGCGUUGCUCGGAAUUAUUGGGCGUAAAGGGUAGGUAGGUGGUCUCGUUUGUCUGGGGUGAAAGCCUUGAGCUUAACUCAAGAAGUGCCCCAGAAACGGCGAGACUAGAGUCUUGGAGAGGGUCGUGGAAUUCCCGGUGUAGCGGUGAAAUGCGUAGAGAUCGGGAGGAACACCAGAGGCGAAGGCGGCGACCUGGACAAGUACUGACACCCAACUACGAAAGCGUGGGGAGCAAACAGGAUUAGAUACCCUGGUAGUCCACGCUGUAAACGAUGGGUACUAGGUUUGGUGGGUCUUGACCCCCGCCGAACCGGCGCUAACGCAAUAAGUACCCCGCCUGGGAAGUACGGUCGCAAGACUA
rnacentral:rRNA from 1 species